rnacentral:rRNA from 1 species
UACGAAGGGGGCUAGCGUUGCUCGGAAUUACUGGGCGUAAAGGGCGCGUAGGCGGAUAUUUAAGUUGGGGGUGAAAUCCCGGGGCUCAACCUCGGAAUUGCCUUCAAAACUGGAUAUCUUGAGUUCGGGAGAGGUGAGUGGAACUCCGAGUGUAGAGGUGAAAUUCGUAGAUAUUCGGAAGAACACCAGUGGCGAAGGCGACUCACUGGCCCGAUACUGACGCUGAGGCGCGAAAGCUAGGGGAGCAAACGGG